UGGGGAAUAUUGCACAAUGGGCGCAAGCCUGAUGCAGCCAUGCCGCGUGUAUGAAGAAGGCCUUCGGGUUGUAAAGUACUUUCAGUCGGGAGGAAGGUGUCAAGGUUAAUAACCUUGGCAAUUGACGUUACCGACAGAAGAAGCACCGGCUAACUCCGUGCCAGCAGCCGCGGUAAUACGUAGGUGGCAAGCGUUGUCCGGAUGUAUUGGGCGUAAAGCGAGCGCAGGCGGUUUCUUAAGUCUGAUGUGAAAGCCCCCGGCUCAACCGGGGAGGGUCAUUGGAAACUGGGAGACUUGAGUGCAGAAGAGGAGAGUGGAAGUCCAUGUGUAGCGGUGAAAUGCGUAGAUAUAUGGAGGAACACCAGUGGCGAAGGCGGCUCUCUGGUCUGUAACUGACGCUGAGGCUCGAAAGCGUGGGGAGCAAACAGG
rnacentral:rRNA from 1 species